rnacentral:rRNA from 1 species
GACGAACCACACAAACGUUAUUCGGAAUUACUGGGCUUAAAGGGUGCGUAGGCGGCGCGGAAAGUAGGGUGUGAAAUCCCUCGGCUCAACCGAGGAAUAGCGCCCUAAACUACCGUGCUCGAGGGAGAUAGAGGUGAGCGGAACUUAGGGUGGAGCGGUGAAAUGCGUUGAUAUCCUAAGGAACACCGGUGGCGAAAGCGGCUCACUGGAUCUCUUCUGACGCUGAGGCACGAAAGCUAGGGUAGCGAACGGG